GGCCUCCCAAAGUGUUGGGAUUACAGGCUUGAGUCUUACUUUGAAUUAUGCAGAAGGAAAAGGAGAUGAAGCUCAAGUGGAACUGCAGUGGGUUGAAGAGAAAUAACGUGAUGUGAA